AGUGAACGCAGGCGGCAGGCCUAACACAUGCAAGUCGAACGGCAGCACAGGAGAGCUUGCUCUCUGGGUGGCGAGUGGCGGACGGGUGAGGAAUAUAUCGGAAUCUACCCUUUCGUGGGGGAUAACGUAGGGAAACUUACGCUAAUACCGCAUACGAACUGAGGUUGAAAGCGGCGGACCGCAAGGCGUCGCGCGGAUGGAUGGGCCGGUAUCCGAUUAGCUAGUUGGCGGGGUAAAGGCCCACCAAGGCGACGAUCGGUAGCUGGUCUGAGGGGAAGAACAGCCACAAUGGAAAUGAGACACGGUCCAGACUCCUACGGGAGGCAGCAGUGGGGAAUAUUGGACAAUGGGCGCAAGCCUGAUCCAGCCAUGCCGCGUGUGUGAAGAAGGCCUUCGGGUUGUAAAGCACUUUUGUUGGGAAAGAAAAGCGGUCGGUUAAUACCCGGUCGUUCUGACGGUACCCAAAGAAUAAGCACCGGCUAACUUCGUGCCAGCCGCCGCCGUAA
rnacentral:rRNA from 1 species